UAAAGAUUCAUCGCUGAUAGAUAGGCAUGCGUUCCAUUAGGCAGUUGGCGGGGUAACGGCCCACCAAACCGACGAUGGAUAGGGGUUCUGAGAGGAAGGUCCCCCACAUUGGUACUGAGACACGGACCAAACUCCUACGGGAGGCAGCAGUGAGGAAUAUUGGUCAAUGGGCGUAAGCCUGAACCAGCCAAGUCGCGUGAGGGAUGAAGGUUCUAUGGAUCGUAAACCUCUUUUAUAAGGGAAUAAAGUGCGGGACGUGUCCUGUUUUGUAUGUACCUUAUGAAUAAGGAUCGGCUAACUCCGUGCCAGCAGCCGCGGUAAUACGGAGGAUCCGAGCGUUAUCCGGAUUUAUUGGGUUUAAAGGGUGCGUAGGCGGCCUUUUAAGUCAGCGGUGAAAGUCUGUGGCUCAACCAUAGAAUUGCCGUUGAAACUGGGAGGCUUGAGUAUGUUUGAGGCAGGCGGAAUGCGUGGUGUAGCGGUGAAAUGCUUAGAUAUCACGCAGAACCCCGAUUGCGAAGGCAGCCUGCCAAGCCAUGACUGACGCUGAUGCACGAAAGCGUGGGGAUCAAACAGGAUUAGAUACCCUGGUAGUCCACGCAGUAAACGAUGAUCACUAGCUGUUUGCGAUACACAGUAA
rnacentral:rRNA from 1 species